rnacentral:lncRNA from 1 species
UCUCAAUCCAAUCACCCUCUCAAUAGAACAACCUAACUGAAUUCAUCUUCAUCUUUCUCAACCAUUUUCCAACGACCUGUAACAAACAGAAGCAUCAGAAGAAAAGAGGAAUCAGAAUAGUGAGAAGAAGAGAGCAAAAAUUGACAAAAGCACAUAACAGCACAAAGAAAUUCCAGAAGCAUCAAAUAGCAAAAAAAAAACGGAAUUGAACAAGAAGCUAAAAAUAAUUUUCAAAUAGAUUCAGUGUUUCAUUCUUCAUCAUUCAACCAUGCACCAACAUCGCUCGACCACAGCAGCGAAGAACAAAUCAACGCACAACAAUAACAUCCAAUGAAAAGCGGACACACAAGGAAAAGAGAACAUUGAAACCUGAAACUUUGAAUUGGUAAAUUCAAUAAUUUCAUAGUCGAUCUCGCCUUCUUUGAUUUGUGCAAGCACGAAGAUGUAUUGAACUUUGAUUAGUUAUGGUAGAAUUCCUGAGCUGGAUUUUGAGAUUCGCUUACUGAGCAUGGACGGACGCCAUGAACCUGGUGCGUCACCGGACAUUGAGUUCUUCGCAUUUCG